CAAAAUUACAGAAACUCCAUCCAAACCUCUGGAAACAUUACAUAUAGACGUAUUUUAUACUUUAGAUGAUUAAAUGGAUCAUAAUGAUGGCAACACUUACCCCAACAUUCAAGACUCAAACCAUCGACCUACAGGACGUAUCGAACAAUAAUGGAUACAUACCGAUAAAAACAGGAGAGACUAAAACUGUAGAACACUACAUAAAAGUGCUACACAUAAUAAACACCACAGAAUACGAACGAACUAUGGAAAUAAUCAAAACCAACAUUGACAUCCUAAAGAUAUCCAGCAGCGAAUCAAAAAAAUUAAUAAAUACAAUAAAUAAGAACUUUAUGCUAUUAAGAGCAAAAAUAGAAAACCUUAACCCACAUUUCCGAAGGAAACGGGCUCUCUUAAA